rnacentral:rRNA from 1 species
GACGAACGCUGGCGGCGUGCUUAACACAUGCAAGUCGAACGAUGAACCGAGAGCCUGCUCUUGGGGAUUAGUGGCGAACGGGUGAGUAACACGUGAGUAACCUGCCCUGGACUCUGGGAUAACCCCGAGAAAUCGGAGCUAAUACCGGAUAGGACCUUUCCUCGCAUGAGGUUUGGUGGAAAGUUUUUCGGUCUGGGAUGGACUCGCGGCCUAUCAGCUUGUUGGUGAGGUAAUGGCUCACCAAGGCGUCGACGGGUAGCCGGCCUGAGAGGGUGACCGGCCACACUGGGACUGAGACACGGCCGAGACUCCUACGGGAGGCAGCAGUGGGGAAUAUUGCACAAUGGGCGCAAGCCUGAUGCAGCAACGCCGCGUGCGGGAUGACGGCCUUCGGGUUGUAAACCGCUUUUAGUAGGGAAGAAGGGCUUCGGCUUGACGGUACCUGCAGAAAAAGGACCGGCUAACUACGUGCCAGCCGCCGCAGUAACAC